GAUGAACGCUGGCGGCGUGCCUAAUACAUGCAAGUCGAGCGAACGGACGAGAAGCUUGCUUCUCUGAUGUUAGCGGCGGACGGGUGAGUAACACGUGGAUAACCUACCUAUAAGACUGGGAUAACUUCGGGAAACCGUAGCUAAUACCGGAUAAUAUUUUGAACCGCAUGGUUCAAAAGUGAAAGACGGUCUUGCUGUCACUUAUAGAUGGAUCCGCGCUGCAUUAGAUAGUUGGUAAGGUAACGGCUUACCAAGGCAACGAUGCAUAGCCGACCUGAGAGGGUGAUCGGCCACACUGGAACUGAGACACGGUCCAGACUCCUACGGGAGGCAGCAGUAGGGAAUCUUCCGCAAUGGGCGAAAGCCUGACGGAGCAACGCCGCGUGAGUGAUGAAGGUCUUCGGAUCGUAAAACUCUGUUAUUAGGGAAGAACGUAUGUGUAAGUAACUGUGCACAUCUUGACGGUACCUAAUCAGAAAGCCACGGCUAACUACGUG
rnacentral:rRNA from 1 species